rnacentral:misc_RNA from 1 species
ACACCUCAACUCAUUGUGGUUUUCCACGAUGAGCUUGGACUUUGGGGGUUUUGCUGGCCUACAGUCGGCUCCUCUAAAAUAAAUCAGCUUACCAGUGUUUGGUGGGUAUCAUGGGUGUGAUAACUAUCUACGCUUAUGGUUUUUCCACCAGGUAACCUUCAUCAGUGGAGGUUCAUUGGAGCUCAUAGAUGUCUCUCCUCAGUGAGGACAGCCCUUUGAAU